AAGAGAAGAGGAGAAAAUCGCCUUCAGCCCCUUCUCUGCCCUCCGCCUCGUCCUCCUCUUCGGCGCCGCCACCCCACCCAGCGGUGUCGCCUCUCCUUCCCGGUAUGUGAGCCGCCGCCUCGCCGCCGCCCCUCCUCCUCCUCCUUAUCUUCCGCCGUCUCGCCGCUGCAGUCGUCCCCGUGAGCAAGCUAUCUAGGCUAGGGUUCAUCGGAAAGAAAGGAAAAAAAUCCCCAUUCCCUCCGCCGUCUCCUAUGCCCUGCUGCCCGCCUACUCUUCCUCUCCACAGCAUCGUGUUUAUCCUCGACGCAGAAGGACAGUGCGGACUGCAGAGACGCCCUGCCGCCGUGCUCCUUUUUGUAGGGACGGGGGGUCGUCGUGUGAGUCGGAUGGGGACUGGGGCCUGGGGGCGGAAGUUCCGUCGGAUGGUGGCGGUCGUCGCCUCGGAGGGCGCAGGGGGAGGCGUGCUGCUCGCGUCGCUCACGAGCUCUACGAAGCGCUCUCGUUCUGCACGGAGGACGCCGGGGGCUACUUUCCCGCCGAGUCCGCCACGCGAGCGCUCGUGCGGCUGGCGACCCGAGAUGCUGCUCGCCGUGCGCGCCAUCACCUACCUCUACGACGCCAUGCCGUGCGCCGCUGACACCGUCGUCCGCCACCGCUUGCUCCCCGUGCUCUGCUCCCGGCUCCUCGCGAUCGAGUACCUUGAUGUGGCCGAGCAGUGCUUGCAAGCGUUUGAGAAGAUAUCGCUGCGGCAGCCGGCACAGUGCUUGCAGGCAGGCAUGAUAACUGUUGUGCUGGUAUACAUGGACUUUGUCUCUGCAAGUAUUCAGAGGGUUGUUGUCUCAGCUGUUGCAAAUGCCUGCAAGAAGGUCCCCGCAGAUUGCUCCCAGUUUGUGAUGGACUCGGUCCCAAUGCUGUGUAAUCUACUGCAGUCUGAGGAGAAGAUGGUAUUGUUACCCACUAAUUUAACCGAGCUUGCUUGUAUUAGGCAUGUACAUAGUGCUCUGCUAAAGGCAAAGGAGAGGUUGACAAUGCAGACAAGGAGAAGUAGUGUCAUGGAUCUGCAUGGAAGUGUCAUCGAGAGAUGUCUGGUGUCAAGAGCACCAGGUCGAGGACUCUUUGGAAAAAUACCUUUACCUCACGCUACCCAAGGACAGCUACCCGAAUGCUAAGAAGGUAACACCUCUCUCCGGCAUUGAAUUUAUUCAGAAGUGUUCGGCUGCAAUAAUUACCAUGGUUUGCUUGCUAAACAAAUAUGAUAAUGCUCCUUUAUUAGUACAAAUUUUCAUGCAUCCAUACAUGCAUUAGAUGCAGAUAGUAGUAUACUAAAGUAAAUUUUCAUACUAACUACGAGCUUCACUGUGAUAAGAGAUCAAGUAUUCAGGCUGUCUUUUUAUUUGCUAGAUGCAGACUCUUAACUAUGCCACUUGAUCCACUCUGGAACCACACCAAACGGUAAUACUUGAUGAAUAUAUAGGUUCCUAGGUUUAAUAUGCCAUCUGUUGCUUGACACCGCACCUAUACUAAUUGGCAUCACACAAUCCUUCAAGUUCUUAUGUGAUCUACAACAUCCUUGUUUAUACAAAACUCUGAUUCACAAUAUAAAAGUGUAACUCUUAAUUUAGGAAUUACUCACCUCACCAUCAGUGUUGAUGAAUGUCAGAUGACUAGCUCUCUAGAUUACUUUCCUUUAUAUUACAGAUUCAAAGUUGUUGGUCCCAAUGUCUUGUUGAUUAGAAGGGACAAUACAAAUUACUGAUACACCUCACUGGUGACAUUACUUUGUGUUCAGAACUGAUACAUACAGUAGAAUGCACAGAGCUACUCUGUUGCUUUCCAUUUUGUGUGUGAUAAUGUAGCAUGUUAAUUUGGAUCUCCAAGGCACCCAUGCUCUCUUUUCUUCUCUCUAAUAUCUAAUUUCAAGUGUCUUUCCUUUCCUCUUCCAUUGCCUAAUUGGAGUGAUGUUGUAGCAUGUUAUUGCAAUGCCACUGAAGAGAGUAAAAUUACAGGGUGAUACAUGAGAGCAUGUAUAUAAUUGGUAAGAUCAAGCUUUUUACAGCUUAAACUGAAUUAAACUUGUUGAUAUGGCGAUAGGGUGUCCAGUAUACAUGAUUGUUGAUUAAUUUUUUAUAUAAACUUCUUCCAAUUUGUUCCACUAUGGAUAUGGAUCUCUUCUCUAUGAAGUCCUUUUUGUAGCUUGGUCUUUUUUGUUUGUGGUGCAACUUAAGACCAUCCUGACAUAUUGGCUUAUAUUGCCAUUUUUUCUGAAAGACACGUGAUCAGGUCUUAGGGUAUAGUGUUAUCAUAAUUUCAGAUUACCAAUCCCAGUCUUGGAAUUUGUAGAUUGGGUGGUUCGUGUGCAGGUACAUCAACAAGAAGUUCAGCAAUAAGUACAGCGCGGCGAUCGUAGGUGCAAAUCGAUGACUGGCUCUUCACGUUACAAGUUCUUCAUUCUUUCGAUUUUCACUAGCUCAAUUUGCUGAAUUCACUCUUGACGAGCUCAUGAAAAGCGACCAUGAAAUCAGAAGGCCAUGGAGAUUUGGAAGAGCCAAAACAGAUAUGUGAUGGUGCUAGAAGGGUGGGAAUUUGAAGAUGCUACCCUCUGGAACAUGAAUUCUACAGAGGCAGAAAUAGUAAGGUCUGGUCAUGGUGAUGGCUCAAUCAUCUCCAGUGAGCCCUGCAGGGCCAUGUCAAGGACAACACAAGUAGCAAAAUCUGGUCUUUCCUGAUUGAAGUAUGGGAAAAAGGAAGCGCUCAAAUAUGACGUUUAUCAAAUACCGAGGUCAGUCAGUUCCUGCUUUUUGUUGCCCUCUGUGUUUUAGUUAUGAUUUUGCAUCCUGACGUGUUUGACAAUAUAGUUAGAUUAAUUAUGCUCUCAGUCAUGGUAUAUCUGACUGUAGGUGCUUUAUGGUUUAUGGAUUAAUGGCUCUAGAGAUAACAAACUUGUUGAUUGAAUUUGGAUCCGUAAAUGUGAGCGAUGAACAAAGACUACAAAGAAAGUAGUUUGACAUUUGUAGUCUUAUCGAUCCAUGAAUGUAUGUUAUGAACAUAUAAUUGUUCAGAGCUAUUUUGUCGAAUAAAUAAACUUAUAUUUGGACUUUCAUCAUGUGUUUCUGAUUUUUAUUUAUUCAAGCCAAAAUAUUGGAUGAACUCUGAGAUUGUUACAUGAAUGAUUUUAUCGUAUUUCUCUUUUGAUCCGAUAUCAUGAAUCAACACCACCCUCUUGCUCAAUAAUGUUUAGAUAAUGGGAGUGUUUAAUUGCAUGCAGCAGUCGUAUGCAUAGUUCUGUAGCAAAAUCACGGAUAUAUUUAUAGCACAACCCUUGCACACACACACCCCUCAGAAUAUAUGAGAAAUGGAGAUCCUCAUCUUUCAUGCUUUGGUUGAUGGAAAACAACAGAGAUGGGGAAAAUUAUAGCACAACCCUUGCACACACACCCCUCCAGAAUAUAUGAGAAAUGGAACACCUGUUGGGAUCCAGUACUUCGGACAGCUUGAGGAGCAUGGUUACUGGGGCAAUGAGGUUAAACUGUACGAGCAUCAUGUCGAUGCCCUGUUUGCCAUGUUUUUGGCGCAACAAGCCACACAUCAGGUACUAUGUAUGCACCAACAACAAGACAUUUCCCAGGCAAGGUCCGAGGAUGGUAACUCCAAAAAUACAUCCUUUCUUGCAUAUGCUCCCUCCGCUUCAAGGUCACCGCAAAUCGCUGCCUUGCUCUCACCGUGUAUCGCCUCUAGACGCACCAUCAACAACAACAGAAACCUUUUGGACGCUGCAAUGCCCUGCUUUUGAACAGCUAGCAUAUGUCUCCUUGGCGGAUGUUUGCAUAGUCGCAAAACUUUGACCAGUUGAUGGUGAUGGUGGCUCUCUUGUCCAUUCCUAACAUGAUGUGACAAUCGCCAUGCACCUUGCUGUUGCAUGCUUGAUCUUCAACGCAUCAUCAUAGGAGUGAAUGUAGUCCUCGAGGUUUUCUUUGGUGUAGAGGACCUGAAAAUAAUACAUGAGAAAGGAAGGAAUUGAGAGGGAUGCACCGUGUUAUGUAUAUAUGUUGUUGCCAUGCCUCUAAGAUUAUCACCUAUCAGCUUCAACUGCACCUGUUUAUAUCUAUACUAAGACUCUUAUCUAUCUUUGUUUUUGA